rnacentral:rRNA from 1 species
GACGAACGCUGGCGGCGUGCUUAACACAUGCAAGUCGAACGGAAAGGCCUGCUUUCCCUUGUGGAUUGCGGGUGCUCGAGUGGCGAACGGGUGAGUAACACGUGAGUGAUCUGCCCCCAACUUGGGUAUAAGCCUGGGAAACUGGGUCUAAUUCCCGAUAGGACUGCAGGGUGGUGCCUGUGGUGGAAAACGAUUUUCUAGUGGUUGGGGAUGAGCUCGCGGCCUAUCAGCUUGUUGGUGGGGUAAUGGCCUACCAAGGCGGCGACGGGUAGCCGGCCGGAGAGGGUGGACGGGCACAUUGGGACUGAGAUACGGCCCAGACUCCUACGGGAGGCAGCAGUGGGGAAUAGUGCACAAGGGGCGGAAGCCUGAUGCAGCGACGCCGCGUGGGGGAUGACGGCCUUCGGGUUGUAAACUCCUUUCGACCGCGAGGAAGCCACCUGGUUGGAAGGGUGGUGACGGUAGUGGUAGAAGAAGCACCGGCUAACUACGUG